GUUUGUGUGUGAGGGGGGGAUUCAACUCUUAACUAGACAAAUUCACUCAGAAGCAGCAGAGGUGGGAGAAAUUCUAGAGAGUUCUGCACCGAGGAUGUCAGAGUUGGAGCUUUCCAGGCAACUGCCACCUUAAAAUAGACCAGGAGAAUUCCUAUUGUUCGGGUGACAUAAUGAGGCUGAGAUGCAAACGCAGAGGGAAGCAGUAGCUGGCAUCAAAAGGAAAAGAACAACAAGAGGGAGACAAAGGCUGAGGCUCGCGCCCAACAUUUUUCUCUAUCAUUUUUGCCAAAGAAAAGAAGAAAGGAAACAAACACUAUUGCAUACUGUAGUCUCCUGUCUCCAUAAGGACUGUACCUGGCCUUGGCUGGUGGAUCACCUCCCCAUUCACCCCUGGGACAGUAGCCUGUGAUGAAACUCCACUGGCACAGAGCUGAUGAAGACUGUGUGUGGGACCCUGAAUGAGAAGGUGUGUAAAAGCCCGCCGCCAAGGUAAAGCAAACCUUUUCAAAUCCGUUUCUUGGCAGGCGAAAUAGGAACAGUCACCGAGCGUGGCUGGUAGGUGCUGUGCUGGCUGCACCACGUAAUGCUCUGGCCCCCGGGGUGACUCUCCUGUGGGACUGAGUUUGCUCGCAGUGGGAAGUCAGGAAUUUUGUUAGAAGGUAUUUAUGCAAGCCGAUAUGUGGGUAUCGGCGAUGUGAUGCAGCAGCUGAGUCUCACGGUGUGAAGGCUGCAUCACCCAUCGUCUCGAUGAAACAAGCCUGGGGUAAAAGGACCGCUGCCCGCACCAUCAUAGCUGAUAGCAGCGCCCGGUCCCCAUGUAAUGGGCAGUCUCCCUGCAUGUAAUGAACAACUGUGGAAGUAGAAAUGCCAGGGUGUAAGUAGGCCUCUUGGUUGAACCUUCCCCCUGUCUCCUGAACAGCAAUCACAGUGUGUGUAGUGGUAAGCUAGUUCCUGCGCUGAAGAAACCAGAAUCCAGACUGGUUGUAUGAGACAGUGGCCUUGUGCCUGUAACAGAUGUGUAAAACUUACACCCCGUUAUCUGUCUUUUACAUAGCAGCUCUGAGAGAGUAUAAACUCUCUAUCCACUCUGCAAGCACGGCGUUCGCAUCAGCAGA